GUACUAUCGAUCUUUGAAUCUCGAAUAUCGUGAUUUGAGUAUCGACGUUGCGCAGCUGAGUUCGUGUAUUCCACAGAUGGAAUUGUAUGUCAAGGAGAGCAUUGAUAGAGAGAAAUGAGAUACAACAAUCGUGUAAAUCAAGAAAUUACCUAAAAAAGACGCGAGAAAAUAUAGCUGGGAAGAAUUUCUACAGGCUUAACCAUAACAUAACUAAAAGUUUCUUAGUGUGUUUACGACCGACGUUAAUAAUAGACGGUACAAGAGAAUUAGUAAAAAUGCACCGUUCUAAAUCGACCAAGAAAAAAUUCUCUCCAUCAAAACCAGUAAAACGUCAAAUGAACACUGUUCCUAAAUAAUUUAUUUUUGAUUCUGUCAUUUUUUAUACCGAAAAUGGCUUCGUCAACUAAGAGAUCCUGGAAAUUACAGGAUUUUGCUGCUCAUACAUCAAACGUCAACUGUCUAGCAUUGGGUCAUAAAUCUGGCCGAGUGUUAGUUACCGGCGGUGACGAUCGUAAAGUCAACUUAUGGGCCGUUGGAAAGCACAACUGUAUUAUGAGCCUGAGUGGACACGCGACAGCAAUAGAAUGUGUUCGUUUCGGUCAAACGGAAGACUUAGUUUGCGCUGGAUCACAGACCGGUGUGCUAAAAAUUUGGGAUCUGGAGCAUGCAAAGCUUGCCAGAACUCUGACGGGACAUGGAAAUGGUAUUAGAUGCAUGGAUUUUCACCCCUAUGGAGAAUUAUUAACAUCAGGAAGUCUGGACAAAGCAAUAAAGUUGUGGGAUAUGAGAAGAAAGGGGUGUAUAUUCACUUACAAAGGCCAUACAGAUACUGUCAAUAGUUUAAAAUUUAGUCCUGACGGACAGUGGAUAGCCAGUGCUGGAGCAGAAGGGAAAGUCAAGCUCUGGGACUUGCGAGCAGGAAAGCAAUUGAGAGAGUUUUCUGAACACAAAGGAUCGGUAACAACUGUCGAAUUUCAUCCUCAUGAAUUUCUUUUAGCCAGUGGUAGUACAGAUCGUACUGUCCAUUUCUGGGAUUUAGAAUCAUUUCAAUUGGUUUCUUCCACGGAACAAUCACAGUCCACGGCAAUUAGGAGUCUGUACUUUAGUCAAGGCGGAGAGUGUCUUUUUGCUGGUAGUCAGGAUAUUUUGAAGGUUUACGGGUGGGAACCAACACGAACGCUUGACUCAGUACCAACAGGUUGGGGGAAGGUUCAAGAUAUAGCUGUUGCACAAAAUCAAUUGAUCGGAGCUUCUUUUCACAUAGCAAAUGUAGUCCUGUUUGUUUGCGAUUUAAAAAAAGUCGCCCCAUUCGGAGGUAUCCCUACACCUGGGUCACCCUUUAGUCACGGCAACUCGUUGAGGAAAAGUUUUUCUAAAGAGAGACCUACCGAAUUGAAGAAGCACAAAUUAGACGUUAAAACAAUAGAGGAAGCAGACAAGUCUGGUACAGAUCCUGAGGAUGAAGUGAUGCUAGCUGAAAUACCAAAUGUCACAGAUUACAGAGAUGUCUUUCAACCAAACAGGUCUUUAUCUCGCACGCCUCCCCCUGAAUUAGAAGCUUUUGUCGAACCUGAAGAAUUGGAUCCUACACAGCCGCAAAUACUUCAAACACUGUCAACGUCAUUGUCAAAUUUGAAUACAAAUGAAUUGGAUGAAGAGCCACCAUCAAUAAUGAAGCCAGUACCAGUGCGUGUUCAUCCCAUAAAAUCUUCUCCACCAGUCCAGCGUAACUUGAUAACUUCUACAAGCCAAAUAAGAGCAAAUCUCCAGGCAAACAAUGCAAGCAAAAAUUCUAGAAAUAUAUCAACAAUCCCGCCACUUCGACAAAGUAUUACGCCACUGCUUAGCAAGAAGAAUGUUGGAAAUCAACCCUUGGGACCUCAGAGAUCAAACUCAACUUUGACACCUCGAGUCGCUCCUAUGGCUGCCAUAUCUCCGGUAAUGGAUGAUGGUAAAAUUAAAAGCAGAGCGCCCAGUCCAGAUUCUCCUAAACAUUGCCUGAAGAGGCAAAGCAGUUGUAAAGAGAGAGAACAGGGCUACGAAAGUGAUUAUCCGAUACAGAUAAACAACAUUAAACAUAGUCCGUCCGAUCCUGCUUUGAACCGGCCAAACACUGCUCAAUCACGGUCAACAUCGUUAAACAGAAAUUUUUCUAGUUCAACCCCUUUAUCAGCUCGGAAUGCAGUGAAAAAACAAAAUAAAGCUCAAAUUCAACCUAAUGUAAAGGUUGAAAUAAGGGUACCACAACUAAGGCCAGCAGUGGAAGAAAAGGUCAAAGAUGAAUUCGUUCCAAUGAUCGCUGACAAACCGAGUGGCCUUGACAUGGAUGAAUUUUUACCGAAUAGCUAUGGUGGCAGGGCAUUGGGUUACUCCCAAUUAGGCGUGCUCCCAGAAAUGUCAGAAGCCGAAGUACUGAACAGUAUGAUGCGUGGCUAUGAGUCCAUGAUGGCAGUACUUAACAGUCGUCAUAGAUCUCUGCAAAUCAUUUACUCGCUAUGGCACAGCAAAGACCUCAAGGCAGCGGUUGACUCCGCGGUAGCAAUGAACGAUUUGGCUGUUAUAGUCGACCUUUUAGGAGUUAUUACGCUUAAACCAACCAUUUGGAACUUGGACCUAUGUAAUUCUUUGCUUACCUCCAUCGGCGAUCUACUUCAAAGUAAAUACGAAAUUUGCAAAGAGGGAGAGGAGAGGAGGUCUUGUGACAUGUGCCAUUCUCACCAUCCUCACAUCUACACUCACUACUCGAUAUCUUGCAAUCUUAAGACGGACGUCACAUGAGAAGUGACCACAGAAGAUGGUAUUUAAUGUAAUCCCGUCAUAUAAAUUCGAGGAAAUCGGAAAUCUCAGGCUUUCUUCACUCAUGGCCAAACGGUGUUCAAUAUCCUGAACCUGCAACAGCCUAUGUUUACUGGUUAGUCAGCACUCGGUGCAAUGCAGUUCGUUAUCUCAACGACGUGUGAGCCAACGUUCGAUGAUAGUAAUUAGACAGACUGCGUAACACUGGAACGACCGAAGUUGUACUCACAACGAGUAAAUAUCAUGCUUUCGACGAUGCGUAACGAGUACGUAAUGCACUUUUUACCUGCCGUUCGACGUUCAACGUUCGGAGAAGUGUGCAUGGCUUCGGGCAAAGGUAGGUAGGUACGAGGCACGAGGUCCACGUUGUACGGAGAGGAGCAUAUCGGUUGAUCCUUAGCCCGAAGACGCUACAGGAAACAGGAUAAUUCCUCGGCUCACGCAACCCUCCGUCCGAAAUUGGACUCUGGAGCACGUCGGCCUCCGACGACGAUGCCGUGCCCAUUGGGUUCAUUGCGUUGCCCACUUGCCACUCGGCCACUUGGCUCACACUGCCAACCAGCACCAGAUGGGCUUCGAUGUCUGACAUUCGACGUUUCUGUUAUGUACUUGACAGCUACCCAAAACCUGGCCGAGAUCCAGCUGCCGUAUAUCUCAUACAUGAUACGAUUAAACUAACUACGACUUGUUUUCUAAAUUCGUUUUCAGCCAGUCAAACCUGAAUUUUUGCAGUUCGAUCCGUUGCUCAAGAAUUGGAAGUUGUAGUACGCGUGACGUCUGAGGUUUGUUAAGGUCUGAUGAAAUUGGCAGUGAAAAUGCAGCUUAUCCUGUUUUGAGUACCUAACACACUCUUGGAAACAAAUGGUGCAAGCUGUCCAUAACUCAUGGCAUUCAUGCAACGUUUAGUUUGGAUACAAUAAGUUUCACUUGGAACGGUAUGCACAGUUGAAGAUCCAGGUGAACGAAUUGCUAUUGCUCACAGUAAAGUAACCGUGUAAUUGAAAUAUAUCCCUACGUUUGAGGAUGAUCGCAGGUAAAGUACCAAGCCGAAGAUAAAGGUAAAAGGUAUAGGAGGGAAAUAAUAGAAAACUGAAAAGGGAAAAGAAACUAUAUCGUUGCUUGCAUUACCAUGUAAUCUGUCUAACAAUACAUUUCUUACAAUAUUUCUUUCCACGUAACAUUUUUCACGAUGCCCUGAAUGCAAUUUCAUUUCCCAUUGUCGUUGGUUAAAUAUCAUGUCUUAGCAUAGUGGUUUUUUAUUCUCAGAAAGAGAUUUGCAUUUCAUUUUAAACGUGUAUGUACACAAGACACGAUCCAAAACGAUCGCACCGCAGAUGAGGUAGAUCAUGCAUCAAGUUACUUAACGGGCUUUUUUUGACCGUAAAACGUAUUCCAUAAACGCAUGCUGUUUUCUUUCUAUUCGCUUAUUAACAUGUACAAGUAUAACUCGUUAAAUUGAUUUACUACGGACAACGGAGAAAGACUAAACUCAACUGAAUAAGAAUAAAAUUGUCCAUUAUAAAUUUUGAACUUUUCGACAAUGUUCCGUCUGUCCAUCUGCAGGUAGACAGUUUAAUUUCCAUUUGUAAGUUUUAUUCUUGAACGGACAUUGGUACAUAAGCAACCGAUAAAUUGAAACUGCAUUGACAAUCCGACUACCUUGACGAAUCUGCAUUUCAAGGAUCGCUGACAGGCGCGCAGUCCUCCGUAGCAAACCUAGAAUAUAUACAAGACAGCUCACCAACAAUUCGGUUCCUGAUUCGUGAAAAUGUGAAAAUGAAUUGUUUACCCGACGGCUAUACGAGUUUCUAUGUAACGCGUGAAAAUAAACAUCUGCGAUUCUUACCGUUCUCGACGCCUGGAAGGAAGGACCUCCUCGUCAUUCGCCUUGGAUACCCAGCAAGGUUGAGGUCCUCGAGGGUCAGCCUGAGCAAACAAUCGGGCUAAUAAAUGGGUGGUGACUUCCGGCGUGGCGCGCGUCGGGGCGUCGAGACGUCGGAGCGUCGGGACGAUCGGUCUGCCACCCUCGGACUCUUAACUUGCAAGGAAUCGCGGGGGUUCUGGCCCCGUAUUCAGGCCCCAGUUGCUCAAGGGCGUAAAACGUCUAUUCUUUCUCAGAGGAUUAUUCAGCCGGAAGCUGUGGAAAGGAAGACGGAGGACGUUACUGUGAAGUCCGUUUGUUCACCGGAUGUUGAUAUCGGCGAGAUUUUCGGAUGAUUUAUUUGACGUCCAUCAACUAUUUGUCAAGAAUGUUUAGCCAGAAAGGAAAACAUCACGAAGAUGGGUGGUGUGUCGAGGUUCAAUACUGACGUAUCGAGCAAAAUGUACGAUGCCAACGCUGCUCGGGAAAAGUUGUUGCACCGUUCAGGGUUGCUAAGGACUGUAAAUACCUGCAGAUGAAAUAAGACGAUGCAUGAGCUGCUGGUAGAGUGAUGGAAUUUUGAGCAUAAAAGUAUGUCCCUUAUCCCCUGAUGGUGGUUCCGAUAGUUGGGAGAAGCGGGAACGAUUUGUUUGAAUUUGGUGUUUUUCAAAUAUACCAGAAUCUAAUUUCUAUCGUUGAACCUGUAACAAUUUCCAUUCUUAAAUAAAUAUUUAACAAACGUCA
rnacentral:misc_RNA from 1 species